GGCUAACCAAAUCUUCUCACCGAGUCUCUCCUCUACCCCAUAAUUGGUUUACGUAGCCAAAAAUUGAGUAUGAUUGUAGAUGGCCUAAUGCAUCAAAUAUUAUCUAAAAAAAAUAGUAGAGUACAAUCCAAGUCGCUCACAUAUAUGAACGUACACUCACCCUUAUGAACGCACGCACGCACACCCUACCCCUAGGAGCACCUUCGAUAGACUAAGCCGGCACAUCAUCUUGAGAUUGACAAAGUUGCCACUGACGCCUUCGUUGUCAACGGGAAUGUCUCCACCCACUGAAGGCACAUCGUCGAAAGACCUAGAAUAAAUCCAGAAAAAUGCAAGCACCAACGUUAAGUCUGGGACUUGAACUCUGAUAGGCAGGGGAUACCACAGUCCUCCUAACCAUCCAACCACGGGUUGGUUUGCAAUAUUAUCUAUUUAAAUGCUCUACAAUUUCUCCUAAACGCUCUAUAAUUUCUCCUCCUCUCCUUGCUCAAUCUCAUUUUGUCUCGAAAGGUCACAUAUCGAAUAUAUUAUGCCCCAACAUUAAUUUGAAGCAAUUGAUUUUAGAUACGCCUAUAAUUCAUUCCGACUAAUGCAGCAAAUCUAAUGGCCACGCAUGCCCUACAAGUUCUCCUCCUCUCCUCCAAGAGGCAACAGAUUUGGCAUAUUAUGUACCCAACAUUAAAUUUUACCAAUUAAUACUAGAU
rnacentral:lncRNA from 1 species